AGGUCUCACCUGGAUGGCUGUGAGUUGGCUUAAUCUCAGCUGGCAACUGUGAGACGUUCAUACAAUUCCUCACAGUGGUCUCUGGGAUUAUGCUAAACAGAGCAAUUUCCUUGCCCUCAUGG
rnacentral:pre_miRNA from 15 species